AUGUGUCUGUGAGUUUGUGUGUGUGUUUCUUGUGUAAGCAGAAAGGUGCGAAGAAUAACCUCGUAGUAGAGCCUUCUGGACUAGAGCUUUCUUCCUUGUUCUUAUUUUGAAUAGUAAUUUGUUGUUCCAUGUAUUUCUAAUCAGGUAGAUUCAAAUAAUAAUUAUUUUUCCGUUUAGCAGUAAAUCUAAAAUGCGAAUCGAGUAUUAUUACAACGUAUGAAAGGCAGAUAGGAACGUGGCAGACCCCAGAAAAUAUGCUCCCGCGCUAGUGCUAAGCAAUGCUAAUUGGAACUCCAAUCAACAGUCAGAAGGAGGCAAGUGUAUAUACAUUUCAUGAAUACGAAGAUUUUGUAAUUUACAGAUUUUGGAUACCACGGCCCCUUCGCCCCAAAUUUGUAAGAAACGUAUUUCAAGAAUUAAAGACUUGUGCCUCGGAA